GGUAGUAGCAAGUUUUCAAAUGAUAACUUUGAAGACUUAAGUGGAGAAAGGUUCUGUGUCAGCAGCAGAACCCAAUCUCUAGGCUAGACCUGAUCUAACUCCUCUUUUGGUAGAAGGUCAAGGGAAAGGAAAUCAGAUUAAUAUUCCAGAACUUGCAUAUGGAGUUUCACGAUAACGUAACCGAAUGAGAAGACGUCGGCCUGGGAUCGAAUAAGUAUAAACAUUGGUGAUACAUACCAUAAACAAGACUAGAAGGGGCGAUAUCAGAAUUUUAAAAUUUGGGAUGAACUCACUGGAAAAUAUUACUUCCAUGCCAAGUCGUACUGUAUCCGCAACAAGUAUACAAAACCAACGGCUUCUAUUU
rnacentral:ncRNA from 1 species